rnacentral:rRNA from 1 species
UACGGAGGAUGCGAGCGUUAUCCGGAUUUAUUGGGUUUAAAGGGUGCGUAGGCGGGAUGCCAAGUCAGCGGUAAAAAUGCGGUGCUCAACGCCGUCGAGCCGUUGAAACUGGCGUUCUUGAGUGCAGGAGAGGAGAGUGGAAUUCCAUGUGUAGCGGUGAAAUGCGUAGAUAUAUAGAGGAACACCGGUGGCGAAAGCGGCUCUCUGGCCUGUAACUGACACUGAGGCUCGAAAGCGUGGAGAGCAAACAGG